GACACUAAUAAACAAUUCAUUGGCCUUCUUCCUUUUCAUUCUGUUUUGUCCUUCCUUUCGUUAUGUUCUGUUUUGUCCUUCCUUUCUUUUUGAGGUUGUUUUUCUGUUCUGUUCUUUUUUUGUUUUGUUUGGUUGUGUAGGUAUAGCGUGCACGCUGGUUUUUUGUCCAUCAUAUUUUUGUUCAAUUUUUUUUUUCAAAUUUUCUUUUGCUUUGGUGUUACAUUUUUGUGGCAGAGGCAGAGCAGAGGAAGAGGCCGAGCAACCCAGGGCAAAUUCUUCUUACAGAGAAGAGACGAGGAGAGCUUCAGUUCCCGAAACAUUGAAAUCACCAAAAAGGGUGAAAGACAGGGAGGUUACAUUGGAGAGAAAGGUGGAGAGAGCUUGCAGAUGAAUGGAUGAAAUGUGGUUGAAAAGUUGGUAUAGCUACCAUAGCAGCAGUGCAAGAAGUCCAUAAAAUAGAGCAGCCAGAACAUCGAUUUUAUUUGAAGCUGGAUGACAGUCACUGAAGCAAAAACGAAACCGCUACAGAAAAAGCAAAUGAUGGGGUAUUAGAAAGGAAUGCUCAAAAUCAGUCUAAUAGAGAGCUUCAAGACUAUCCGAUGAGAAGUACAAAUCCUGGUCUUCAAUGCUGGUCCUAGGAGAUGGACCUGGUGAGAGCUUCAUGUAACUGGUGCAAAGAAGAAGAGAUGGAAAGUUCCUUAUGAUCACUAGUACCAGCUGUAGAAGGAAGCCAUAUUUCCAGAAUAGCCAACCCAGUGUUUGAAUUCUUUUUAGGCAAUGGACUAAUAUUCUCCUGCACAGCUAAUUCAUUUGGAUUUGCUAUCAACUCCUCAUAUGACAGCCUUCCCACAUCAAAUUCACUUAAUGGGGUUAAUAUUCUUUAUACAACAGACAUUUUUGCCUUUCAUUUAAGGACAGAUUGUAAGGAUCCCGUCCUUUUUACAUGGAUUUGUGAAACAGAGUUUUGGCUCUUGGAGUUCUAUUGAUGAACAGCUAUGGUAAUGAUGUUUUUAUUCUGGCACUAAGCUGACAUACACUGUUUAUUGGGGGUUUGCUGGACUUCUACUUUGCAGGUGUAGUCCAACAGUUAACUGAUCUCAUAGGACAUACAGCUGCAAUCCCCUAUUGUCUAUAGGGCUUCUGGUAUGUCCGUAUGUGCUGCCCUGCAGUUUUUUGGUGUAGCAUUGUAUUGUUUAUUGGCUUUCAAAUAUUUUAUAGAACCUGCAAAUCCUCUACAAUAGUAAGUAAAGUAUCAGCUAACUGAGCUUUGUUGGUUCUGGAAUGUAGUAAUUUUGGUGCAGGGUUUAAUACUUUUUUGGAUUCCUUGUUUUGGGAGCUCUGGUAGGUUUGUUGUAUUUAUUCAUUUUCUUUAAUAUUUCAAAUGUGAUGCAGGGAUAUGAUUUUCCUUGGUUUCUUUAAUACAGAAUUGCUUACAUUGACAUUUUCUUUUAACACAGAAAGAUUGAUUUUCUUUAAUAAACCUAGAGAAGAUCUCCAACAAUCAGAGAAUAAAAACAAAUGUGCUAUUUCAGCUUCGCUUCUCCAAUUCCAUCAAGUGCAGUAGUUUAGAAGAUAACUACAUAAAGAUGGGACAUCAAUGAAACCCAACGCUGAAAGUACUAAAGGAUCUUGUAGCAAUGCCAUUAUAACCAGCUGUCAUUAGUUCUUCUGACAUUCUGGUUUGAUGUAAAUCACAUUACAAACUGGUAACUGAAUAUUGUUUUCUCAGGUUUCAGGGAAAGUAGACAAGACAAGAAAUAGCUCAUUAGGGCCUUUAACUAGGUAUGCAUAGAUCAAGAUGUGGAAGUGACAGAUUUUCAAUGGAGAUAAAUGGAGGGUAAUAGUACCAACUUAAUAAAGGAAUAUUCAAGGAAAUCUUUAAUUUGAGCAUUUCCAACGCAGCAUAGUAAUAUUCAAGGAAACCUACUGUAUUAAUUUUGAUACCAAAGAGAAUAGCUUGAAAGGCAUACUAGAAUAGCUUGUACCUUGCACUAAAAUUUUGGGAACCUAGGGAAACAUGUUUGAUUUAUCAAGAUGUGAAUGUUGUCUUGUCACAUAUAGGAAUUCAGAUUCUAAUUAGGUGUUUUUGCAUUGAGAUGACUUCAUUAUAUUUAGGAUAACUUGUUGAUUGGUGAAGUGGGUUUCCAUUCUAUUGAAUUGAUGUAUUGCAUGGGUGUAGGUAGAGAGAAAACUUGACCUGGUGCAUGGUCGUGGAAGUGUUGGACUAAUGGGCUUGAUUUCUCAGGCUGUUCAUGAUGGUGGCCGUCAGGAUAUCUGCAGAUGCAGUUGGUGAAGUAAUGGAAGUUGGUUUCCAUGCAUGAAAGGAAGGUUGAAAUGGCUCGUCAAGCAGAUGCCUUUCUUUCUCUACCUGGUAUUUGUUGGUAAUUUAAUCAUUCAACGGAUGCACUUGAAUUAAAAUUUCUCCUUAUUCUGGGAAAAAGCAUAGAUUAUAAGGUCUAGUAGCUAACUUCAGAAAGCUGCAAUUUGCAUCAUUAUUAGAUGAUAUUUUAAACCUUUUAGCUCGCCCUUUAAGAUAGGUGGUUAUGGCACAAUGGGGGAGCUACUGGAGAUGAUACAUGGUCACAACUUGGAAUUCAGGAUAAGCCGGUAUUCUAUUUAACACAACUACAAGACCAUCUUUGUAGAUCACAUGAAAUUUAUGGUACAGUUGAAUUUUUUUGUUUA